CGAAAGAAUAGUUCGCUUUGUGCUCACUAC
rnacentral:snRNA from 1 species